GACGAACGCUGGCGGCGUGCUUAACACAUGCAAGUCGAACGGAAAGGCCCUGCUUUUGUGGGGUGCUCGAGUGGCGAACGGGUGAGUAACACGUGAGUAACCUGCCCUUGACUUUGGGAAAACUUCAGGAAACUGGGGCUAAUACCGGAUAGGAGCUCCUGCUGCAUGGUGGGGGUUGGAAAGUUUCGGCGGUUGGGGAUGGACUCGCGGCUUAUCAGCUUGUGGGUGGGGUAGUGGCUUACCAAGGCUUUGACGGGUAGCCGGCGUGAGAGGGUGACCGGCCACAUUGAGACUGAGAUACGGCCCAGACUCCUACGGGGGGCAGCAGUGGGGAAUAUUGCACAAUGGGCGGAAGCCUGAUGCAGCAACGCCGCGUGCGGGAUGACGGCCUUCGGGUUGUAAACCGCUUUCGCCUGUGACGAAGCGUGAGUGACGGUAAUGGGUAAAGAAGCACCGGCUAACUACGUG
rnacentral:rRNA from 1 species